rnacentral:rRNA from 1 species
GUGCACCAGGCGAGAAUACUUUACAAUGUGCGAAAGCACGAUAAGGGAACUCUGAGUGCCUCCUAAGGAGGCUGUUCAGGUGUCUAAAAAGCACCUGGAGUAAGGGCUGGGUAAGACCGGUGCCAGCCGCCGCGGUAACACCGGCAGCCCAGGUGGUAGCCACUUUUAUUGGGUCUAAAGCGUCCGUAGCCGGUUGAGUAAGUUCCUUGGGAAAUUUGGCUGCUCAACAGUCAAGCUUCCAGGGAAUACUGCUCGACUUGGGACUGGGAGAGGUCAGAGGUACUCCAGGGGUAGGGGUGAAAUCCAUUAAUCCCUGGGGGACCACCGGUAGCGAAGGCGUCUGACCAGACCAGGUCCGACGGUGAGGGACGAAGGCUAGGGUCGCGAACCGGAUUAGAUACCC